GGUAUAAUUUUCUUAUUUUUAGACGUAAGCGAGAGCAGGCGGUUAGAUAAUAUCUGAAGUUAAAGGCAGUAGCUCAACCAUUGUAGGCUUUGGAAACUGUUUAACUUGAGUGCAGAAGGGGAGAGUGGAAUUCCAUGUGUAGCGGUGAAAUGCGUAGAUAUAUGGAGGAACACCGGUGGCGAAAGCGGCUCUCUGGUCUGUAACUGACGCUGAGGCUCGAAAGCGUGGGGAGCGAACAGGAUUAGAUACCCUGGUAGUCCACGCCGUAAACGAUGAGUGCUAGGUGUUAGGUCCUUUCCGGGACUUAGUGCCGCAGCUAACGCAUUAAGCACUCCGCCUGGGGAGUACGACCGCAAGGUUGAAACUCAAAGGAAUUGACGGGGGCCCGCACAAGCGGUGGAGCAUGUGGUUUAAUUCGAAGCAACGCGAAGAACCUUACCAGGUCUUGACAUCCCGAUGCCCGCUCUAGAGAUAGAGCUUUACUUCGGUACAUCGGUGACAGGUGGUGCAUGGUUGUCGUCAGCUCGUGUCGUGAGAUGUUGGGUUAAGUCCCGCAACGAGCGCAACCCUUAUUGUUAGUUGCCAUCAUUCAGUUGGGCACUCUAGCGAGACUGCCGGUAAUAAACCGGAGGAAGGUGGGGAUGACGUCAAAUCAUCAUGCCCCUUAUGACCUGGGCUACACACGUGCUACAAUGGCUGGUACAACGAGUCGCAAGCCGGUGACGGCAAGCUAAUCUCUGAAAGCCAGUCUCAGUUCGGAUUGUAGGCUGCAACUCGCCUACAUGAAGUCGGAAUCGCUAGUAAUCGCGGAUCAGCACGCCGCGGUGAAUACGUUCCCGGGCCUUGUACACACCGCCCGUCACACCACGAGAGUUUGUAACACCCGAAGUCGGUGAGGUAACCGUAAGGAGCCAGCCGCCUAAGGUGGGAUAGAUGAUUGGGGUGAAGUCGUAACAGGGGUAGCCGUUA
rnacentral:rRNA from 1 species